ensembl:lncRNA
UGGGUGCUGAGGCCAUCCCGGGAGUGGCGGUGGAGAGCCCCCCUGAGCAGGACAGCAGCACAGAGGGCAGGCAGCCAAGCCAAGAGGCUGGGAGGGCCGAUCCCUGCUGGUGGCGUCGAGCACCCAGCUGGCAAAUGGAGCACUCUGGCAUGGCUACAACAUGGAGGAUUUAGGCUAGCUUCAAGGAAGAACUUCCAGAUAACACUGCAAGGCUCCAGUCUAACCUGGAGCCCAACUGGACUCAAGCCAUAUCUGUUGGGGGCCUGCUAUAGACUGCUACCCAAGUUAAUCCUCGUUUUGGAGGACAAGACUGAGGCUCAGAGAAGGGAGGCAAGUGGCCAUAGCGAGGACGUGUGGACCAGGCAGCAGGCCCAGACGCUGCUGCUACUCUCUGGGGAGGUGGCCGAGGUGGCUUGCCCGCGUGCCGGGGGCUCUGGCGCCAGUGGCACGUGUGCUGGGAGCGCCUGAGCCAUGGUGGCUGCACGGGCUGCCCAGAGGCGCCCAGAGGGCUUGCGCACACAGCGGGCCGGCUCUUGGCCCGGCCCCGCCCGGCUCCCCUCCCGGCUUUGUCUUGCUUUGCUUGGGGGAGUCACGCUCAGGUGACCACCAGGCCCAGUGUCUGGAGCCUGUACAGGGGAGGCCACAGCCUGCGCCGCCCGCCGGCCCUCCGGACACCCCUUCCUUCCUUCGGGCCUUGCGGGACCCUGUUCCCCACUUGCACAGCGGAGGUCUUUCCAGAAUACGCAGGGCACCUCGCUCCUUCUGGAAUGCGAUGGGUCCCUCGCUGCCCUUUCCGCGCUCCCUACCCCUGAUGUCAUAUGCGGUUCUCGGGGGUUUUGAGCUGGUUUCCCACCACUUGUGGGGUGAGCUUAUCCCCAGUGGAGAUGCCAAGGUGCUCCACUGCCCUGCGUGGGGAAGUCCACGUCUGUGGCUAUUUGUCCUGCCUGCUCCCACCCUCUACCUCCCCAUCUUAUGCCAACAGUGCCUCUUUUUCCUCAGAAGACCCCCUCCAGCCUUUCCUAGUCCAUGUGGUUUGGGGGAAGUUAACCGUCUAUACACAGGCAUCAAAGAGAAACAUAGGACCUAGAUCCGGCCAGUCAGUGCGUUUCAUACCCUUUGAUCCGGUCACCAGGCUGAGGAUGGACAUGCGACCUGGGCCCAGCCAUCCUGUGCUGGGACUUGCAAUGGACUCCUAUGAAUGAGAAGCCCUCUCCCUCUGAGGCGCUGCCAGGGCACCUCACGCAGGCACCUGACAGAAGGGUGAGGCCAACACGGAAAGCAGAGCUAAGGGAGCUCCUGAUGACACAAUCUGAGCCCCGGGUCAGGCCAGGCCUGGCGCUGCCCUGACUUGCAUGGGGAUGGGGCGCCGUGGGGCGGGGACUAAAGCCGUCGAAGCUCAGUGCUAGCUCAGGCGCUGAUGCUCGUGUGUGAUGGUGUGUCAGCACAGACUGAGGAGGGGAGAGGACUCCAGGGAGAGAAGCCCCAAGGGUGUGCACGCACAUACGCGUGUGGGCACACGCACGGCUCAGGCCAGACCAGCGCAGGUCAUGAGGGGCUUGCAGCCAACGCGGGGAGCGCCGGUCCAGUGGAAGAGGGGGGUUACCACGUUGCCGGGAUCCCUGCGUGACGCACAAUCAGCUUUGAAACGACAGUGAAAAUGAGGCACGUUAGGCAGCCGUUAAGAAGCGUGACGGGCGCCUGAGUCAGAGCAGCAUUUCAUAUGGGGCAGCGGCCCCGUGGAUCUCUAAACAGCCUCGAGCCUUCAUCUCUCCCGAGGAAGAAAUGCUCAGCCUUGUUAUCUUUAUGCAUGUUCAGGGCCUUCCAAGGCACCGUCUCCUGGGCUCCAUGGGAGGAGAGGGGUCGGGUCAAGGUCACACAGCCUGUCGGUCAAGGGCAGACACAUGGAUGAGGUUUGCUUAGGAAAACCCAGGCCCCACCAGAGGCAGGUUCGGAAGCUGAAACCACAGGGCUCCUCAGUGCACGGCCCCGUCUGGGGCCCUCACCUAGUUCCGGGUUCCUUUACUGAGAAAGCUCCGCCCGAAGGCCUGGGUAAGUCCUAAGCUUUAGGCCCCACAAGGCGUGGAUCAGCCCCUACUCCCAACGACACCCGAGGCAGAGGCCAAGGCCGCUUCCCGCUUGCUUCUCCCUCGCCUUCCCGAGCCUAACCCCAAGGGCGCGGCCACGGACUGCACACAGGGGCUCCCGGGCCUCUGCUCCUCCUCACUGGCAGAUUCUUCCUAUGACUGAUGAUUCAGAGCCUUGUUAUGCCAACGACAUCGACAGAGACCCAUUCUGUUCGACGCUCACAGGCUGUUUUUCAAGGGUUCUUCAUCUUCCAAACGAAACCAAAUCCUCCUGCUUCUGCCCGGGCCAGUGAGGGGCCCAGCCCGCAGAGAGGGAGCGGCUCCGGGAGACCCUCAGCCUGCCGCCUGGUGGCCCAGGAGCCCACCCCCACCUGCGCGCCUCCCGAGGAGCCCUGUCCCGCCCUCGAACCUGUCAGGGCUGAGGCGGGCUGGAAGUCACAGCUGCAGGCUCUGUUGCUUGGCCCUGACUCAGUUUCCACCCAGACGUCCUCUCCCUACCCCUCGGGCCUUCCUACACUUUCAUGGGCCUCCCAGUCAGCAGCCUAAAGGGAUGCACCUGCCCUACCCGCCCCAGGGCAGAGGAGCCCAGCGCUGGCAGCUCUGAAUUAGAGCACGGGGGCUGCGUGGGCGCGGUGGGGGUGUGGGGACUGGCCCCUGCCCAGAGCCCCCUGGGGGCUUUGCACCUUCCCCUCCCUGGGCCUCCAGGCAGCCCUGUCGCUCAGGCUGAGAGGACCCCGUUUCUCUCGGAGGACGGGACAGACGUGAAGGGUUUUGCAGAGCUGCUUCAAAGUGAUGGUGAUGGUGAUAAUGCUAUAAUGAUAAUUACCAUUAUUAUAGCAUGAUCACGACUGGCAUUGACUCAGAAAGGUCUGCGCAAAUAAUCCAUAACCAGCCUAUCAGUGAAAACUGGGGUGAGUUUAUCAGGAGCCAGAGUGAGGGUGAGGCGUUCGGAGAAGCAUGGCUGUCAGAACGGUCUCGUCUCCUUUCGGAACAAGCAGCACACGUCAAACACACCAGGAUACGUUGCCAUCAGAACGUCACAGAGGCCUUCAGAGGCGCAGCAGCAGGCCACCAGGACCCUGCUGAGAGGACCAGGCGUCCCCCAGAGGGCGCGGGAGGGGCCGGCUGCAUCCUCGUGUGAAGAGAGCGCAGUCCGGACUCACUGGUCAAGCAGACGCACGUCUCGGGUUGACAGGCAGUGAGUCAGGCUUUCAGUUCAAGCCGAGUCAGUUAUGAAGCCGAAUAGUCGCCCCUUAGCCCUCGCUGUGUGACGCUCUCUCGUGCGCACUUAGCACAGACCCGGCCCCGUCUACUGGCUUUCCAAGCGUUCACGCUUUCGAUCCUCACUCCGUCCAAGGAGGACGGUGGUACUUCUAUAAAAUUUGUCUUUUCCACUUUCUGGGGCUUCUUUGCUUUUAUUGCAACGGAAUCCACGCUCGUUGGAGCAAAUCAAACGGGAUAGCGAGGUGCGAAGAGCAAGGUCACCGUCUCCCCCCACAGGCCGCUCUCUCCUUCUCCACCCCUGUCCAUUUCCACUCUCCUGGAGCCACCAAGGCAGGUGGUUCCACGUAUCCAGUCUGUCCUCAUGCCAACACAUCACGCACGUACAAGAAGGCUCUCUUAGAAUUAUGCUCCCCAUUUUGUGCAUCAGGAGAAUGCAGCCCAGAGAAGUUAAGUGACUUGGCCAAGGUCACACAGCAGGCAAGUGGAGGAGCUAGCACUUCCUUGACUCCCAAGUUUAACGGCAAAGCCUGUGACUUUGCCCACCAGCCUACACUGCCUCCACAGUGUGGGGGGAAGAAUACCACAGUGGUGAUGUGCCCAUCUCAUCACAGGGCAUGAGCAUGACUUAUCACAGGAGACGUUAACUUGACCGAUUGGAGGAUUAGUUUGCUGGGGUUGCCGUAACAAACACCACAGACUGGGUGCUUAAACGGCAGGAAUUCCUUGCUCACCGUUCUGGUGUCUGGGAGUUCUAGAUCAGCGUGGCAGCAGGGUUGAUUCCUCCCAACGACUCUCACCCUGCUUGCGGAUGGCCGCCUUCUCCGUCCGUCUGCACAGGGUCUUUCCUCUGCGCGUGUGUGCAUCCCAAUCUUUCCUGACGAGGACAUCAGUCAGGUUGGGUUAGGGCUGACCCUAGGGACCUCCUGUAAACUCAUGGCCCUCUUUAAAAGCCGUGUGUCCAAAUACA